GGGCCCUUAGCUCAGUUGGUAGAGCUCCCGGCUCAUAACCGGUCGGUCACUGGUUCGAAUCCAGUAGGGCCCACCA
rnacentral:tRNA from 1 species